rnacentral:rRNA from 1 species
UACGUAGGGGGCUAGCGUUGUCCGGAUUUAUUGGGCGUAAAGAGCGCGCAGGCGGUCGAUCAAGUCGCGUGUGAAAGCCCCCCGGCUCAACUGGGGAGGGUCACGCGAUACUGAUCGACUCGAAGGCAGGAGAGGGUAGUGGAAUUCCCCGGUGUAGUGGUGAAAUGCGUAGAUAUCGGGAGGAACACCAGUGGCGAAGGCGACUACCUGGCCUGUUUCUUGACGCUGAGGCGCGAAAGCUAGGGGAGCAAACAGG